GGGGGGGGCAAGCGUUGUUCGGAAUUACUGGGCGUAAAGGGUGCGUAGGCGGCUCUCUAAGUCGGAUGUGAAAACUCUGGGCUCAACCCAGAGCCUGCAUCUGAAACUGGAGGGCUAGGGUUUUGGAGGGGAAAGCGGAAUUCCUGGUGUAGCGGUGAAAUGCGUAGAUAUCAGGAGGAACACCGGUGGCGAAGGCGGCUUUCUGGACAAAUACCGACGCUGAGGCACGAAAGCUAGGGGAGCAAACAGGAUUAGAUACCCUGGUAGUCCUAGCCCUAAACUAUGGAUACUUGCUGUGGGGGGGAUUGAAGCCCCUUGUGGCGAAGCUAACGCAUUAAGUAUCCCGCCUGGGGAGUACGGUCGCAAGGCUGAA
rnacentral:rRNA from 1 species